UGGAUGAUGUGGUUUAAUUCGAUGCAACGCGAAAACCUUACCCACCUUUGACAUGUACGGAACUUGCCAGAGAUGGCUUGGUGCUCGAAAGAGAGCCGUAACACAGGUGCUGCAUGGCUGUCGUCAGCUCGUGUCGUGAGAUGUUGGGUUAAGUCCCGCAACGAGCGCAACCCUUGCCAUUAGUUGCUACGAAAGGGCACUCUAAUGGGACUGCCGGUGACAAACCGGAGGAAGGUGGGGAUGACGUCAAGUCCUCAUGGCCCUUAUAGGUGGGGCUACACACGUCAUACAAUGGCCGGUACAAAGGGUAGCCAACCCGCGAGGGGGGAGCCAAUCCCAUAAAGCCGGUCGUAGUCCGGAUCGCAGUCUGCAACUCGACUGCGUGAAGUCGGAAUCGCUAGUAAUCGUGGAUCAGCAUGUCACGGUGAAUACGUUCCCGGGUCUU
rnacentral:rRNA from 1 species